rnacentral:lncRNA from 1 species
AAAAAAAUGGCUUCCCAUUGUGCAGUUGAAGCAUUAUAAACCUGCCUGACAGACAGUCAUUUGACUAAGCAAACAUUGCUGGAUAUACAUGAUGAAUUAAAGUAUUGUCAUUCUGUAAAUGUCUUUUGUGAGGUGUAGAUACACAGUGAAAUGUUGACUGUUUAGAAAAUAGCAAGAGCAGUUAUUCAUCCCUAGGCUGGCAGUUUAUUCAGUCCUGAAUCUUGAAAUUCAUAUUUCAUUUAAUGUUAAAAUUCUCACAUAUGGUGCCUCAUAAAAUGAUAGCACAUUGAAUUUAGUUUUAAUUUUAAUUAUGUUGGUAGCUUUCAAAUCUUUUUUGUUGGAGUUGUGUGAGUCUGUAGGGGCUUCUGUGAAAGUUUCUAUAUAAUUUAUGCUUUCAGUCCCUCCUGUUCCACAGACUCAUACUGCUGCAGAGAUGGCAGAUAC